rnacentral:tRNA from 1 species
AGGGGUAUAGCUCAGUUGGUAGAGCAGCGGUCUCCAAAACCGCGUGCCGUGGGUUCAAGUCCUACUACCCCUG